rnacentral:rRNA from 1 species
UGGGGAAUCUUGCGCAAUGCGCGAAAGCGUGACGCAGCAACGCCGCGUGGGGGAAGAAGGCCUUCGGGUUGUAAACCCCUUUCAGGAGGGACGAAGGUUCACCGGCGAAUAGCCUGGUGGACUGACGGUACCUCCAGAAGAAGCCCCGGCUAACUACGUGCCAGCAGCCGCGGUAAUACGUAGGGGGCAAGCGUUGUCCGGAAUCAUUGGGCGUAAAGCGCGCGUAGGCGGCCCGGUAAGUCCGCUGUGAAAGUCAAAGGCUCAACCUUUGAAAGCCGGUGGAUACUGCCGGGCUCGAGUCCGGAAGAGGCGAGUGGAAUUCCUGGUGUAGCGGUGGAAUGCGCAGAUAUCAGGAGGAACACCAAUAGCGAAGGCAGCUCGCUGGGACGGUACUGACGCUGAGGCGCGAAAGCGUGGGGAGCGAACAGG